CCUACGGGGGGCUGCAGUGGGGAAUAUUGGACAAUGGGGGGAACCCUGAUCCAGCCAUGCCGCGUGUGUGAAGAAGGCCCUCGGGUUGUAAAGCACUUUCAGUGAGGAAGAACGCCUGGUGGUUAAUACCCAUCAGGAAAGACAUCACUCACAGAAGAAGCACCGGCUAACUCCGUGCCAGCAGCCGCGGUAAUACGGAGGGUGCGAGCGUUAAUCGGAAUUACUGGGCGUAAAGCGCGCGUAGGUGGCUUGAUAAGCCGGUUGUGAAAGCCCCGGGCUCAACCUGGGAACGGCAUCCGGAACUGUCAAGCUAGAGUGCAGGAGAGGAAGGUAGAAUUCCCGGUGUAGCGGUGAAAUGCGUAGAGAUCGGGAGGAAUACCAGUGGCGAUGGCGGCCUUCUGGACUGACACUGACACUGAGGUGCGAAAGCGUGGGUAGCAAACAGGAUUAGAUACCCGAGUAGUC
rnacentral:rRNA from 1 species